GUAGCAGAGCAAAGCCUCUACUUGAAAAAAACCACGUAGCUGAUUGGGUUUUACAAGAGUGCAUUUGUCUCCCCCUUCCACCCCCCCACCUUCAGGUCUUAGUGGUUCACAAGAGCCCAGCAGCCAGGCUGGCUUUUUCAUUGUAGGGCGUGGUUGUCCCAGCUGGUGUAGAUUUCAGGCCGCCUCCCCCCAUCUCCCUGCCCACAGUGUUGCAGAUUGCCUGGCUGGCAGCAAGUCCAGACCACCCAAAUUUGGUUGGAUUCUUCAUUUCUCCACUGUAGUUGGGGUCCAUUGAUUGUGCAGGGGAACGUGCAGGAGGUU
rnacentral:lncRNA from 1 species